rnacentral:misc_RNA from 1 species
GAUGAAGAACGCAGCGAAAUGCGAUACGUAAUGUGAAUUGCAGAAUUCAGUGAAUCAUCGAGUCUUUGAACGCACAUUGCGCCCCCUGGUAUUCCGGGGGGCAUGCCUGUCCGAGCGUCAUUGCUGCCCUCAAGCACGGCUUGUGUGUUGGGCCUCCGCCCCCCGGCUCCCGGGGGGCGGGCCCGAAAGGCAGCGGCGGCACCGCGUCCGAUCCUCGAGCGUAUGGGGCUUCGUCACCCGCUCCGUAGGCCCGGCCGGCGCCCGCCGGCGACCCCCCUCAAUCUUUCCAGGUUGACCUCGGAUCAGGUAGGGAUACCCGCUGAACUUAAGCAUAUCAAUAAGCGGAGGA